rnacentral:rRNA from 1 species
GAUCAUGGCUCAGGACGAACGCUGGCGGCGUGCCUAACACAUGCAAGUCGAACGGAACUGUUUUGAAAGAUUUCUUCGGAAUGAAUUUGAUUUAGUUUAGUGGCGGACGGGUGAGUAACGCGUGAGUAACCUGCCUUCAAGAGGGGGAUAACAUUCUGAAAAGAAUGCUAAUACCGCAUGAUAUAUCGGAACCACAUUGGUUUUGAUAUCAAAGUAUUUUAUCGCUUAGAAGAUGGACUCGCGUCCGUA